AGAAGGAAGCAUUUAUUAGAUAAAAAGCCAAUGCAUGCUUUUACAGUAUGAAAAUUGGUGAUUUAUAAUAACUUAGCAAAUCGUAAAGUGAAAACAGACGAUAAAUCAUUCAAGUUUCUGACCUAUCAGCUUUCGACGGUAUGGUAUUGGCUUACCGUGGCAGUGACGGUUAACGGGGGAUUAGGGUUCGAUUCCGGAGAGGGAGCCUGAGAAACGGCUACCACAUCUAAGGAAGGCAGCAGGCGCGCAAAUUACCCAAUUCUAACAGUUUGAGAGAGGUAGUAACAAGAAAUAACAAUACAAGGCAGUUAAAAUGCUUUGUAAUUGGAAUGAUAGAAAUUUAAACCCUUUUUAAAGUAUCAAUUGGAGGGCAAGUCUGGUGCCAGCAGCCGCGGUAAUUCCAGCUCCAAUAGCGUAUAUUAAAAUUGUUGCAGUUAAAAAGCUCGUAGUUGAAGUUCUGCUAAAAGUAACCGGUCUGCUUUUAAUAAAAGUGGUAUCUUGGUAUGUAUUUAGCAAUGAUGUCCUUUGAAGUGUUUUUUACUUUAUUGUAAUAAAGCAUAUUCAGGACUUUUACUUUGAGAAAAUUAGAGUGUUUCUAGCAGGCCGACGCUUUGAAUACUGCAGCAUGGAAUAAAUAAGA
rnacentral:rRNA from 1 species